UUGGCAGUAUUACAUUUAGCGGAAGUACAUCCAACUUCUCCGUUUGUCAAACGUUACAUUUGCUGAGUUUAAAGUAAUUUUAAUCGUCUGACUGACAUCAGAAACAAGAAAACCGUCUGCUACUUCUGGACUCCGUUUCCCAGAACCACCUGGGACCAGGCUAAAGGUGACAGGAAAAUUUCUAACACUUGGCAGCGGCGUCGGUCAGAGUGGUUCUUGGUGCAGCGCCCCCACAGGCGAGGAGGGGAACAGGUUGCUCAAAGGGUUUGGCUUGUUGGACAUGCUGCAUCGUGAAAGGGAACCGCAGCAGCUGAAAAUUUUUUGAAAGCACGACCAAUUAUUCUGCCUCCUCUGCCUCAUGAAGAGAUGCUGCCUGCGCGCUCUCUGAGUGAAUCUGCAGCUCUGGAUGUUUCUGCAGCUCUGGAAGGAGCUGCUCACUUCUGACCGGAGAAAAGAAAGAACAUUUCUUCUGCUACAGACGGACAAACAGCUGGAGGAAGAACUGCUGUGCACUGAAAAAAGAAAACGGUUGAUCCAACUUUAAAAACUUCAGCUAAUAUGUUGCAAGAAGUCAAAUUAAGUUUAUUGAACAAAAGUAACGUAAUUUGAUGACAUGAAACAAAUAAACAAUUUAAAAAGGUU